ACGAGAGGUGCAAGCGUUAUUCGGAAUUAUUGGGCGUAAAGGGCGCGUAGGCGGUGUUGUAAGUUUUUCGUUUAAGGCUUUGGCCUAACCAAAGAAAUGCGAAAAAUACUGUAAUGCUAGAGUAUAAUAGAGAGAAGUGGAAUUUUCGGAGUAGCGGUUAAAUGCGUAGAUCUCGAAAGGAACGCCAAUGGCGAAGGCAGCUUCUUGGGUUAUUACUGACGCUGAGGCGCGAAGGCAUGGGGAGCAAACAGG
rnacentral:rRNA from 1 species